rnacentral:rRNA from 1 species
GACGAACGCUGGCGGCGUGCUUAACACAUGCAAGUCGAACGAAGAGCGAUGGAAGCUUGCUUCUAUCAAUCUUAGUGGCGAACGGGUGAGUAACGCGUAAUCAACCUGCCCUUCAGAGGGGGACAACAGUUGGAAACGACUGCUAAUACCGCAUACGAUCCAAUCUCGGCAUCGGGACUGGAUGAAAGGUGGCCUCUAUUUAUAAGCUAUCACUGAAGGAGGGGAUUGCGUCUGAUUAGCUAGUUGGAGGGGUAACGGCCCACCAAGGCGAUGAUCAGUAGCCGGUCUGAGAGGAUGAACGGCCACAUUGGGACUGAGACACGGCCCAGACUCCUACGGGAGGCAGCAGUGGGGAAUCUUCCGCAAUGGACGAAAGUCUGACGGAGCAACGCCGCGUGAGGGAUGACGGCCGUCGGGUUGUAAAGCUCUGUUAAUCGGGACGAAUGGUUCUUGUGCGAAUAGUGCGAGGAUUUGACGGUACCGGAAUAGAAAGCCACGGCUAACUACGUG